CGCGUAGGCGGAUGUUCGCGUCAGAGGUGAAAGCCCCGGGCCCAACCUGGGAACUGCCUUUGAAACGGGACAUCUUGAGUUCGGAAGAGGGUAGCGGAAUUCCCAGUGUAGAGGUGAAAUUCGUAGAUAUUGGGAAGAACACCAGUAGCGAAGGCGGCUACCUGGUCCGACACUGACGCUGAGGCGCGAAAGCGUGGGGAGCAAACA
rnacentral:rRNA from 1 species